rnacentral:rRNA from 1 species
UACGAGUGCCCCGAGCGUUAUCCGGAAUCAUUGGGCGUAAAGAGCGUGUAGGCGGCCCGGUAAGUCCGUUGUGAAAGUCCAGGGCUCAACCCUGGAAUGCCGAUGGAUACUGCCGGGCUAGAGUUCGGAAGAGGCGAGUGGAAUUCCUGGUGUAGCGGUGGGAAUGCGCAGAUAUCUGGAGGAACACCGGUGGCGAAAGGCGGCGAUCCUGGGACCGGUAUUGACGCUGACGGAGCGAAAGCCAGGGGAGCAAAGCGGG